CUGCUGCGGCGAGAUGAAGUGGACGUGCGCAUCGAUGCCGCCCGCCGUCAGGAUGAGGUGCUCUCCCGAGAUGGCAUCGGUGCCAGGCCCAAGCGCGAGCCCGCGGGUCACUCCCGACAUGGUCGAGGGAUUGCCGGCCUUACCGAUUCCGCAAAUCAGCCCGUCCUUGAUGCCGACGUCGGCCUUGAUCACGCCCUGCACGGCGUCGAGGAUGGUGACGUUGGUGAUGACAAGGUCGGGCGCACCGGCCGCGCUGGUCAGCUCAUUGUCGUAACCCAUGCCGUCGCGC
rnacentral:sRNA from 1 species